CGACGGGUCUGGGGGUGCGCGGAGAGCGCCCCGGAACAGGCGGUCGGCGCUGGGCGCCCCGUGUGGCCGGGAGGAACGAGCAGGGCCGACCGCCCCGGCUGCCUCGGCUGCAGCUGGAGACCGAGGAGGGCUUCCCGCGACCCCGCGGGGCUCCAGGACCCCCCUGGUUUGCAGCGGCGGAGUCAGACAUCCCAGCUUUUCCUGAGGUCGCCGGGAAGCGCCCUGGCUCUCCAGGAGAACGAUCUGGGUCCUGAGCUCGGUCGCGGCAACUUCCCGCUCAGCCUCGAACCACGACUUUCACUUUCCGAGCUGUAAAGGGUCAAAUACCUGCAGUGUCCUACGGCUCAACAUAAUGCAUCUAAGAACCUGCGAGUAGGAAGCACGAGAGCCCUAAUUAGGGCCGUUAUAGUUGAUCUCAGAAGAAAUAAAAACUCAGGAGCUAUGGUGAAUUUACCUCCAUGAGGAAUGGGAGAUGGAGAAAGACUACCUUCAGGGAGAGAAUGAACCAUCUAGAGGCCGAGACCAGAAAUGAUGAGAUUGGUCUCUGGUUCUUGAAAGCUUCCCAAGCCCUUUGUGAGACCCUCUGACCUUGGGGUCUCUGAUUCACAUUUAUCUAGAAUAAAUCGUGUAAGCUAACUUAACUUAUACUCAAUGCAGAGCUACUACAAACUCAGUCUCUUCAGUUGUGCCCACAGUGUACCCAGCAGUCCUUCUACGGGUCAGCUUCUGUCACCAUCCCCCAGUCUGCUUCACAGAGAAACUGAAGGCAAGGGGGAGGAAACUGCCUUAGUUUCCAGUUCCCUCCAAGCACUUGACUCUCUCUGGCCCUUUCUUUCUCAGAAAAGAAGGUUUCCCUUCAAAUCCAAGGUUAAUCCUUCCACUAUGAUGUGUAGUUCAUUCCCUUUUCAUCUCUUCAGGAACUUUGUUCCUUCACUAUGCCUCUCCUUCAUGGAUAUUCAACUUUUCCCUCUGCUCUAUUCUUUGAUCUCAGCACAUAAACUUGAUCAACUGGGCCCAUCUAAAAAACAAAAACAAAAACAAAACACCCAAUUUUAAUCUCACCGACUACUGACUGUUGCACAUUUUUUCUUGCCUGCAGCAAACUUCUAGGGAGUAGUGGGACUUUCCACUUCCUCACCUCCCAUGUACUCUUUAAACCUAGUGCUUAAAUCUGGUGACCUUCUCCCAAAAUCCCUACUGAAAAUACUUUCAGUGAAGUUGCAAAGGACUUCUGAACUGAAAAAUCCAUUGGAAAUGGAUUAAUUUAUUUGACCACUUGAUGUCAUUUGGCUUUGUUGACCACCCGGAUCCUGCACCCUUUGUUAGCUCCUAGGGGCUACCCAAUUCCAGUUUCUUCCUACACUCACAUGGGCCCUCUGCAGCAUCCUUAAUGGACUCCUUUUCUGUCAUUCACUAUUUAUAAAUAAGAAAACAAGGGACCCGGCUGGCUCAGGUAGCAGGUAGUGCAUGCAACUCUUGAUCUUGGGGUUGUAAGUUCGAGCCCCACAUUGGGUGUAGAGAUUACUUAAAAAUAAAAAUCUUCCCUAAAAAUGAGAAAACAGUUUAGUCCACACUGAUUUCUCAUCUCUUCACUCUUCCCAUUGACCUCAACAGCACCCACCUGAAGUGGACCUUGGUAAUUUGGGGCUUCUCAGAAUCUGAUUCCCCUUCCUUCUUACGAGUCUUGGAGAUAAGCAGAGCAUACAUUCCAUGACAGGCAUCAAAGGGGUUGGCAGCUAAGACAGAGGUAUGUGACCAGGGCCUGGCCAAGUAGCCCCCAGAAAUGUGGAUUCUGGGGUAAAUGAUUCAGAGAAAUAGAAUUGUGGAUAAUUCACCCUGGCAGUGGCCACAGCAGGGUCAGCUCUCUCCCAUGGUUUGAGCUAUAGGGGGAUGGGCACUAGUGACAUGGUGACAUGAAGCAUCCACUGAUGAUGAAAUCUCUAGUACUCUCACUCUCUGGUUCUGACGUCUAACUUUGGCUUUUGUUCUGGUGGAAUGGCCUCCCAUUGUUCCCACUCAUUUCCCAAGCUUGCAUGUCCUGCUUGGCGAUACUAUGACCCACCCAGUGCCCUUUCAACAAAUGGCUUUUCUGUUUCAAUCAUCCCGUGUGGCACACUGACUGCAGGUGACAAGGACUCCCAAAUUUAUAUCUUCCUCCUUUCCUUCUUCAAGUUGCCUUUUGGAUAAGUUGCCUUUUAGACAACUCCAUUCGUAUGUCUCAUAGGCAAACACAUUUUCUUGUCAGCCUGCAUCUCUUCCAUGUUUCUAGCUUCAUAAAUGGCAUCUAUGACUAGUUCAGCCUGAACCCUGAAAGAAGCAUCUUAGACUUCUCCCGCCCUCGUUUAAACAAGACCAAUUUUACCUUGUAAACAUCCUACAUCUUAAAUCAAUCCCGAUGUUAUAAUCCUGCUCUUCCUCACCAGGAUUGCACUAUCCUCCUAACUAGACCCUCUAUCCUAGUAUCUACUCCUCUGAAUCCACUUGGCGGUCCAGCAGAGUCUUCUUAAAACCCAAAUCUGAUCAUGGCACUCCUCUAUUAAACCCCUUCAAUGGCUCCCUCCUACCUCUGUGAUAAAACUGAUACCCUUUCUAUGGAUCUGGCUCUCACCUGGCUCUCACUACUUCUUCACCUGCGUUCGAAACUCCAGCCAGGUCAAAGCACACAUUCUUACAGACCCUGCAGGACAUGUCUUCAUACUUCAUAAAUCCUCAUUGGGGCUGAAAGUCACAAUGCCAUUUCUGCCCCCUCUGUCUUCCCCUCCUCCCCCCAGAGAUGGAUCCGUGACCCAUUGGGCCAGGCAGGGGACUCCAUCACCUUGCCCAAAGUGAUUAGGUCAGGCAUGAGUUCGUGGCCUAAGUAGAGCCAAUCAAUGUUCUCUUCAAAACUCUCUUGCUUUGGAGGCCACAGUGCUAGGAACAUAUGAGACUGAAGUUGCUGGCACCCAGCUCUCUCUAUCACAGAGAAUGGGAAAAGGAAUGGGACCAAAGCACAAAGAGAAGCAGAGCCCUGAGAGAUGGAGAAGGAGAUAGCCCAUGACACUUAUUUGAACCCUUGAAUUCAGACUUGCCUAAUUCCAGCAAUACACUACACCUCUCAGUUCCUUCUUGAUUAAGCUGGUUUAUGCUACUUUUUUUUAUCACCUGCCACUCAACCACUUCUAACACUAAAAUGGAAUGGGGUGUGCAGACUCUAAAGUGAUGGAACCAAAGUGAAAUGGGGCCAGCGGGGAUCUGAUGACCCUUGACUGGGAGGUUGGAAAUCCAUGUUAUGUAAUAUCAAAUUAGCUGGUUAAAUGAUCUUCUAUUUUAUCUUAAGAUUUGGGUCAUGCAUCCAUCCUUGAUGGAGAUCUCGGGGACACACUGAAAAAAAAAAAAGUCUGGAUGUUGAAAUGUGCUGGCCUCUUAAGAUUUUCAUUAGGAUCCUGCAGUUCCGCUUGCCUCUGUGCUGCCCGAACCAGAACCAGUUUUGUUCAGAGUUACCUUUUCUGCCUGUGGCCAGCAAGCUAGACUGCCAAGGGUCAUCAUGCUCUUACAGAUUAUAAAAGCCAGAUCCUCUUCCUCAAGCUAAAGUGAGUGAAUACAAAGGCAUAGAUACAGGAUAUCCAACAGGAGAAACUUGAGCUUACAGCCUAAGGAAUUCCAGAGAAAAAGUCUGAUCCUCCAUACCACACCUGAAUGCAUCUUUUUUUCUCCCAAAUUAAUAUUUAUUUAUUUAUUUAUUUCACUUAGAAUUCAGCCAGUGCUAGGGAUUCUGGUGCCUGGGAUGUUGGCUGUAAAUCCUGUAGGAAAAUGUAAGAUAUACUGGUCACAAACCUCAUGUGCCUUCUUGAACUUAAGUCCCCACCUACGUGAAAUAUCCCCUCCACUUCCACAUCUGUGGUAGAAAUGCCACAUAGCAGGCCAUGGAAUCUGACUUCCCAAACAGCCAUCUGGGGGCAAAUGAUGCAUCUCAUGGGACACCUGGGUGGCUCAGUGGUUUAGCGCCUCCCUUCAGCCCAGGGCGCGAUCCUGGAGUCCAGGAAUCAAGUCCCACGUCGGGCUCCCCGCAUGGAGCCUGCUUCUCCCUCUGCCUGUGUCUCUGCCUCUGUCUCUCAUGAAUAAAUAAAAUCUUAAAAAAAAAAUGAUGCAUCUCAGAAGUACAGUGGAGGUAGCUCUCUGUGGGAUACAAUUUGACCAGAGGGAAAGGAGAGAGGAAGAACAUAUGGAUACACCCCAUCUCAAUUCUCCGCUUAGUGAACUGUUCCCAGGUGGUUUCUCCUUGCAAAUACGAUGUGCUUAGAAAACAACACUGUCAAGUGACCUGUUCUCUCCUCAUGGCUCAUAUGAUGUCACCAACAUGUAAUGCAUUAUUUUGCAUUUCUUGUCAGGAAAGAUCCUGACUCAUGUCUCUCCUCCCCUCUCAUCAUCCUGGACUUCCAUCUCCCCAAACAGUGUGAGCACUGUAACCCCUGCUUCAGAGUCUGUUUCCAGAGUACUUUGGCUAAGACAUGGAGCCUUAAUCAGAGCUCCAGUCCCAACAUUAAGUCCCAACAGUGAGAUAGCAAGAAGGUCCUUGCUGUGUAGACAUGGCAGAUUUCCUGUUCAAAUGCAGAGAAUCUAGCCCAGACUGUGGGCUUCCUGUCCAGAGCCCAGGGCCAAGGUCGGAAUGGGAAUGGGGAUGGGGGUAGAGGGGCCAGGCCAUUUCUAGCCUAUCCAUAGGAGAAGCUGAGGCUCAUUUCACAGGCUAUCUUUGUGUUUCCCUGCAUUUUCUUCCGGGCACCUUAUACUUCUCUUGGGAAAAGUCAGACCCAGGCUUACAGAUGCUCUGCCUUCUGGGUCUCUGCUUUUAGACAUCUAGAAAGCAGGAGGCCAGAGCCUGGAAGUUCAAAGUCCCCUCUACAGAUAGCCAGGCAGUUAAAGGUUCUCAUCAACCCAGGCUGCUGGAGGGUGGAGAACACUGAUAGCAGUGUGUAAAACUGGGGCUACGGAGAGAAACGGUGGCUCUCUGCCCUUUCUGAGUUUGCGCUUGGCACAGAUUUGGUCACCUCUUUGUGGACCCCACAUGGCUCAGCCUGGAAAAGCAGCUACUUAGGCUGCAUUGGCUUUGAACUCCCUGAGUCUAUGAGGUUUCUUCCUUCACUGGUUUUCCCAAAAACAUAAGGUUGUGUGACAUAAUUAUAUACAUGUGCUGGCCAUGAGGGGAGGCCCAGAGGCCAAAAACAGCCUCUGAGUCCCUGCUGGAUUUGGCUGUGUCACAAUGCAGGCAGGUGCGCUCAGAACAGUGGUUGCCCAAAGAUCACAGCCGAAGCUAGAAAUUAUGAAGAGCGAUCCUGUGAUCUCCAUGUCCUUAGCACCUUCUUUGGGAAGGUAUUCCAUGCAUCUUAUGCUCCACUGAGGCAGAGGCAAGACUCCAGUUCUGGUCAGAGCACACAGAAGAUCCAGAGCUGCUUCCAAUGUUAGAGAUCAUUCAUCAUCUCAGACUAGAGGUCUUUUCUUCCUACAUCUAAGACACCCAGGAGAAAGAAAUUCCAGAGGCCCUGCCAAAGGCUGUAAAACCUCAUAGUCCCCAAGUGACACAAGUUCCCAGAGGGCCCGCAAAUUCAACAUCCACUGACAGACUCCUCCUAGGACUGCUUUGGUGAUGUGGCCUCAGUGUAAUAAUGGACCAUGGCCAGAGGGCGAGGAAUAGAGCAAGCUGCAGGUGGGCCCAAAUGAAUGCUUGUAUGGUUGCCUCCCUCCUACCCUAAGCAUCUCCUUGGGGCUGAGGCAUAGGAGCCAGUACCACUCAGGGAUUUUGACCAUCUGGUCAGGGCUACUGGAGAAUGAGCCAGCCAAGUGUUGAAUAGAUAAUGUUUCUUUGGGGGCAUGAGCAGAUUAAGAUUUACAUAUCACCAUAGACAGACCAUUGUGGAGACCAUGAAGCUGAUGGGGAAGGAAACAGGCAAAGUGUGACCAAUUGCUAAGAAACAGAAACCACAAGGGCCUGAUCCAGGUUCAAGGACCAAGACCCAGCAAGAUUCUUGAUGAUGGUUACUAGCUCACAGAGGGUCCAGAAAUCAAAUCAAUUGGUUUUAAAGCAAUUAUAUCACCAGAGAAUCCUCAGCCCUGGCAUACAGGGCUCUGAAAAUGCAUAACCUCUAAGGCAAUCUUUGGGUCUGAAGCCAUGUCCAAAGGAAAGAAGGAUGCUUCAGUUCCAGAAGAAACAUCUGAGGGAUUCUCAUAAAGGACAAUAGAUAAUAGAAGGUAUUUCCCAGUGGAAAGGGCUAAGAGCAAUCAGUUUUGUUAACCAAGAAAUUCACUCCACUGUCCAGAAAAAUGUACUGUAUGCUAUAGGUUAGUGACCAUUGUUUUUUCUUCUCCCCUGUUCCAAAUGGACGGCUAAAUCAAUCUUUUAGCCAUAGAUUUUAAAAUCAUAAGUUACAUCCAGACCUGAUCAAGAACACAUCACAAAGGGACCCCGAACUGAGGGUUCCCUAAGGCAAUUAGACAUGAUUCUGCUUUGUCUCCCAUUUUUAUUGGGCCGAGGAUCAUUUCACUGUUGGGCAGGCACAUUUUUGAAAUUCUAUGUUUGUCAAGAAAAAUAUAGGUGGCUGCUGAGCAAUAAAGGGGUGGAAUACAGUGGAUGCGUGCUGCUUAUCUACCCAUCAUUCCUUCCUUUAAGGGCCCAUUUCUUCUCUCCACGUGAUCCUGAUGAGGUUGUCAAUUAUGGUGGCCCACUCUUUCACCCUAGAGGUAGGCACAUGUCCAUUGCGGCCAAAGUCUUCCCUAGGACUUUAGAGCUAGAACCAGUGAGGUCGACAUACAAAAGGAAGCAGAUCCAAGACAUGGGAGACGUCAUCAAUUGAACCUCUAGAUCCAGCCAUGCAUGAGGGUAGACCCAUCCUUCGGUUUAUCAGUUGUGUAAGCCAAUUAAUUUCCUACUGGAUUAAACAUGUUUGAGUUGGGGUUUUGAUACUUGCAACUGAAAGAGUCCAGACUAAUA